GGUAAAGUUGUUAAGCUGUUUCCAAUGUCACAAUUUUCAUCUUUACAUUUGUCGGCCGAACUUUGCAGUGGUUGCAUACAUUUUGGACUGGAAAAAAAAGGAAGCAAAUUAUCUAAUAGGGCUGACCGUUUUUGUUAUUUGAAUUUCAUAAUGAAAAAAAGAAUUCUUGAAUAAAUCUAUGCUGCUUUUGAAAGAAAUGUUCCAUCAACCUAUUCAAGAAGUGAAAGUGCCUGAUCUGAAUCAUAUAGAUAAAGGAAAUUUCUCAAAUUCAAUAUCAACGUCUAGGAGAAAAUUUGAGGCAGAGAUUUAGAAUAGAGUACUUUGGUCAAGUGCUGCUCAAACAAUCUUUGAAACUUCCAGAGAAAUCCAAACAAAUUGGUAAUGAAAUUAUGCAGAAAUCUUACAUCAAUAUGUUGAACUUAGGAUGUGAUUGGUCAAACACUGAUAACUGAAAUUUCUUAACUUCUCUUCCAUCUUUAGUUUUAACAUUUUGCACUGUUCCAAUCUGAAAAACG